rnacentral:tRNA from 1 species
UAUAAGGUGCCUGAUUAAAGGUUAAUUUUGAUAGAAUUACUCAAGUGCCCCCCACCCUUAUAA